GAUUCUGUAAUAACCGAAUCUGGUGGUAGCACUUCUGCCCGGUUGUCUAGUUUUUGUUUUUUAUGCCGAAAUUUUGUUCUUGCGUUUUCUGUUUUGCAUUUUAUUUCCCAUUUCGUGACAUAUUCAGGGUUUUCAUUAAGAGGCGGCCGGCGGCCAAAUUGGCCGCCUAGAACACGUUUUGGGCCGGCUAGAAAUCCCGUAGAUACCAUAAAUGAAUACUUGGAAACUGCUUUGGGGGCUCGAAAAUUUACGAUUCGCUCCUUUCGGUAAUUUUAUGCAUUUCCGCUAAUUGCGGUUCACUUCCUUGGCGGCACGUAAACAUCCAAUAUGGCGACCAAAAAACGAAAAAUAGAUCGCAAAAUCGACGAUUUUUUUUAAUUUUCAACCAAAAUCAAUUCAAUCUCAACACGCAUUUAUAUGAUAGCUGGAUUAAAAAGGAUUCCACUCAAGAUGUUCCGCCUAGCAACCAGCUGCACUCCCAGUCAGGAAAAAGUUACAGUCCAGCCCUCUGUUGGUGAUAUGGCCCAAAGAA